rnacentral:rRNA from 1 species
AAUAUGGGAUAAGGGGUGGAAGCGUGCUUCAGCGUUGCCGCGUGUGUGAAGAAGGCCAUCGCUUUGUUUAGCACUUAAAUUUGGGGGGAAGGGCAGGCAACGAAAACUUUACUGUUUUGACGUUACCAAAAGAAUAAGCACCUGCUCACUUCGCGCCAGCAGCCGCGGUAAUACGAAGGGUGCAAGCGCUAAUCGGAAUUACUGGGCGUAAAGCGCGAGUAGGUGGUUCUUUAAGUUGGAAGUGAAAGCCCCGGGCUCAAACUGGGAAUUGCUUUCAAAACUGGCGAGCUAGAGUACGGUAGAGGGUGGUGGAAUUUCCUGUGUAGCGGUGAAAUGCGUAGAUAUAGGAGGGAACAUCAGUGGCGAAGGCGACCACCUGGACUGAUACUGACACUGAGGUGCGAAAGCGUGGGGAGCAAACAGG